UGUCAUAAGUACUCAACAUUUACCUUUCUUUUUUUCUCUGUUUGUUCCUAGGUCUUCCCAUAGGGCAACAGUAGGGCUCUUUACCACUGAAAGCAAAGGAAAGUGGGAGACUGGCCUGGGACUGUGGAGCUGGGUCUACAGGCCUGAAAGCUUGAGAUCACUGGAAGCAAGGAAAUACGGAGGAAAUUAUUCCUGAUCAGUAUAUGCUGGUCCACAGAUCUCAUGAGUUUAUAGAUCUCCUUUAGGAUAUACCUCCAAUCAAGAGAAGGAAAGAGGUGGUAACUGCCUUGAUCAUUACAGGUUGGUAUGAGGGUGGGCACCUGUGGGAGUGGUGACCAGAGUAGGUCCAGUAAAAAUCAGGGUGUGAGGGCUUCAGUCUACCAUCCAUAGUCAGUGCUACCACCAUCCUUUCCACUGUUCAUUUGAUGUAAGAAAAUGUGUAUGGAAGUACCCUGGGG
rnacentral:lncRNA from 1 species